GGGGGUGACUGGUUUCGACUUGGGAUGGAUUUCCUGAGGGAAGCGGGUCGAGGAUCCUAAGACGUCUCGUUAACGAUAUUAGGAAUCAAAAUAUAAGUGCCAACACUAAUCGCACUGACUUCGCUCUGGCUGCGUAAAGCUAUCCGAAGGGUCAGCCCGGAUGCGCCUUUCGUCCGGAACCUGGCCUCGUCUAAAAGGCUCGCUGUAUAAGCCGUGUUCAAGGGCUUGUACGGGACUUUUACUUGAACUGAGCCCGUCCGGGGAUUUGCUGGCGAACAACCCGGGGGCCGAGAAAAACGCCUAGCCAGCUGCACCCGGAGAAUACUCACGAGUCCUUUCAAGGACACGGGUUCAAUUCCCGUCACCUCCACUA
rnacentral:tmRNA from 1 species